rnacentral:rRNA from 1 species
GGGAAACUGCCUGAUGGAGGGGGAUAACUACUGGAAACGGUGGCUAAUACCGCAUAAUGUCGCAAGACCAAAGAGGGGGACCUUCGGGCCUCUUGCCAUCAGAUGUGCCCAGAUGGGAUUAGCUUGUUGGUGAGGUAACGGCUCACCAAGGCGACGAUCCCUAGCUGGUCUGAGAGGAUGACCAGCCACACUGGAACUGAGACACGGUCCAGACUCCUACGGGAGGCAGCAGUGGGGAAUAUUGCACAAUGGGCGCAAGCCUGAUGCAGCCAUGCCGCGUGUAUGAAGAAGGCCUUCGGGUUGUAAAGUACUU